UACAGAGGUCUCGAGCGUUAGGCGGAAUCACUGGGCUUAAAGCGUGUGUAGGUGGAUCGGUAAGUCCCUUGUGAAAUCCCACAGCUUAACUGUGGAACUGCUUGGUAUACUGCCAGUCUUGAGCCAGCUAGGGGCUACCGGAACAAAUGGUGGAGCGGUGAAAUGCGUAGAUAUCAUUUGGAACGCCAAUGGUGAAAACAGGUAGCUGGGGCUGUGCUGACACUGAGACACGAAAGCCAGGGGAGCAAACGGG
rnacentral:rRNA from 1 species